rfam:Firmicutes bacterium CAG:272_52_7 Ley3_66761_scaffold_22516, whole genome shotgun sequence.
GCCGGUGUGUUGGAAUUGGCAGACGAGGCGGACUCAAAAUCCGCUGGUAGCAAUACCGUGCGGGUUCGACCCCCGCCACCGGCA